GGUGAGAUGGCUCAGUGGGUAAGAGCACCCGACUGCUCUUCUGAAGGUCCAGAGUUCAAAUCCCAGUAACCA
rnacentral:tRNA from 1 species